GGCAGGCCAGGAGCCGGGCCGAGGUGCCCGGGGGCUGUUGACUGAGGGACAAUGCCCUGUGUGUCUGGCGGGGCUCUGGCGGGUGGCACCUCCGUCUGUGGCCUGCGGCUAGCCACCCGGCCAGCACCCACAGGGCCGGCUGAGACAAUCAGCUUCGUUUGCUUUGGGGACGGCGAGGGGGUGAGGGUGGAGGAGGGACGGGCUGUCCGUUGGUCAGGAGAGCAAAUGUUCUCGGCUGUGCUGGCCAGGAGCGGACGCAGGCCCCAUCUCCCAGGGAGACAGCCCAGGCCCUCCGGCCUCAGCCAGCCCCAGGUCAUUUUCACAUUUUUUGGUCAUGCAUUGUAUUUCAUGAAGGAGGAGCUUGAUUGAGGGCUCAAAGCCGAGGCAGAAAAGAUGGGGACACGCAAGACCAGAGACGGAAAGAGACUGAUACAAUGUGACACAGCAACUCAGUGUCAGAGAUGAGGCCUGAGCCCACUCCCCUUAAUCCCAGUCUUGGGGCUUUCCACACACCACAGAAGAGGACAAAGGGACAACAUUCUUCACCGUUGGGAUGGGGGCGGUGGGUGGGGGUGGAAUCUCCUUGGAAUUACGGCUUGUCCUCAUUUCAUGGAGUUAUACUCCAGCGGAGUUGUAAAGUUAAGAACUUUAUAAACAUUACCUUAUUAAGGCUUCUUGAAAACCCAAAGUCACAGCUCCUCUGGGUCAUGGGACAUGCGUUGAGCAUCCAGUGAACAAACAAAGGGUAACAUUACAUUUUUCACUUCGUUUAGGAAACCUGGCUUCUAAUUAUAGGAUUUGUUUAACAGUCCUGAAUGGUUUACGAAGGCUUGGAUCAGCGUCAGUCCUGAGGAGUGUCAGCAGGGGAGACAUAGGCAGGGUGGAGGCAGGGAGGCAGGGACAGGCCUCAGCGGCAAAGGGGAGAGAUGAUAGACAAGGUCAAUUUAAGCCAACGCCUGGAGGGCAUUAAUUUUCCCUAAAAACCCCAGCCAGGUUGCUCCCAGUUGGAAAUGAUCUCCAAUGACCAGUACCAUAACCUUUUCACACAGGGACAAUGACAUGAAUUAGCUCGAGGGCAAGCAGGUGAAACAAGGAUCACAUUACUAUUUGGUGCUCUGUCAAACUGAAUCCCUGCAAAGGGGCAGGUUAUCCUUAGCACACCCUCUUCCCCUUCCGGAGAUAUGGGCCGGGGGCUGGCUCCAGCUCCUUGCUUACAUAAAUAAAUAACUUUAUUUUAAGCAAGCUAUUUUUUAAAACAAAUCUUUAUAACUUCUGUAAAAUACUAUUAUAUGCAUAUAUCAUAUUCCCUUAACACAGAUAGAAAGUAGAAAAGAUAGAAGGAAUAUAGAAGUCCCUCAUGUUAUAUAUAACUAAUAAUAUAAUGUAAUAGGAAAAAAAAAAAAGAAAAAAAAAUGUAAUAGGUAAUUAAGUCCCUAUGGUUAAGCUCACCAUCUAAGGAGGCAAGGAGGCUAUCUAAGGAGACUCAGGGGACUAGGAAAGGAAAUGUUAUGAGGCUGCAAGUGCUCCCCACCACUAAUACAGCCCAAGUCAGGAUAGAACGAUCUUACCAAGCUGCUUCCAGGCCAAGACAUGUAAGGUCCAGCCCAUCUACCAUAAAGCCACAUUUCCCUCCUCACUCAGGCCUCCAUUGCAAGCUCAGCCCAACGCCGUGCCCCCCCUCGCCCCGGACUCAAGGAAACCCCUCAAACCCUCACCUUGUCCCAAACAUCUCACUGCCUCAGUUCCUGAGUUACCACAUAUGCUCAUGUACGUACACACACCCUCCCCUCUAAGUCCCUUGGACUACCCAGGUCUGUGCUUUCUUGAAGCUUAGGUUUGUGAUUUCCAAAAUGGGGGUGGGGGGGUCAUUCAAAGCCCAGGAAAAAUAUUAGGCUCUUCUCUUUUUACUUCUAAAUUCUCUCAUUUCUAUUUUUUAUUUUUUUAAGAAAUUAUGAUAUAUUAGCAAAAUGGUACUUUAUAGAAUUUAUAAAGAUUUAUUUUUA